rnacentral:rRNA from 1 species
GAUGAACGCUAGCGAUAGGCUUAACACAUGCAAGUCGAGGGGCAGCACAAGGUAGCUUGCUAUCUGGGUGGCGACCGGCGCACGGGUGCGUAACGCGUAUGCAACUUGCCCUAUACAGGAGGAUAACCCGUCGAAAGACGGACUAAUACUGCGUAUGCUCACAACUUGGCAUCAAGUGGUGAGGAAAGAAAUUCGGUAUAGGAUAGGCAUGCGUCCCAUUAGCUUGUUGGUGAGGUAACGGCUCACCAAGGCAACGAUGGGUAGGGGAACUGAGAGGUUUGUCCCCCACACUGGUACUGAGACACGGACCAGACUCCUACGGGAGGCAGCAGUGAGGAAGAUUGAUCCAUGGGCGCGAGCCUGAACCAGCCAAGUCGCGUGAAGGAUGACUGUCUUAUGGAUUGUAAACUUCUUUUAUACGGGAAUAACAAGAGUCACGGGUGACUCCCUGCAUGUACCGUAUGAAUAAGCAUCGGCUAACUCCGUG